UCAGAAUUCCUCUGCUCUCUCUCUCUCUCUCUCUCUCUCUCUCGCUCUCUCCCCUAUAUUCUCACUCUUGUUUCUCUCUCCUCACUGGCUGGAGAGGAUCCAAAUCCUCUAAGAAUCCCUCUGCUCCCUCUCUCCCCCUUACCGAUCAAAAAACAAGAGCAGUGACGGCCGGUGAGUGUAGGGAUCUUGGAACCCUAGCCGCUGCCCCCUUCUUCUUCUGCGUCUCCAUUUCCACUGGAGUUCAGCGGCGGCCGAUGGGAUCUAAGUUGCGUUACUGGAGUUCAGUCCUGCCCACUUCUCCGUCUUCGUUCCCAGGUAGUUGCUGUGGAACAGCUUGACAGGAAUUGUUGGUGGAGGUUCUCAUGCUGAAGUGCUUAAAUUUUCUUGGGAACAAGUUGAAUGGCGAAUUUCUCUUAGAGGAAACAUAUUAAUCAGCCAAAACUAAUUUGUUUUCACAUAACAUGUCCUCAACCAAACUCACACUCAUCCAAUAGUUCUUGUUAGGAUUAAUUUUUAGUGAAUCUAGUUUCAAGUGUUUAAUUUUUUCAUGGACUUUGAUUUUGAUAAUAGAUUCUGGGUCUAUAAUACAUUAUGAAGCGACAAAAUAGAGAAAACCGGGCUUCAGAAUAUGUUCUAAACCCAGAAUCAAUUCUGAGAAUGCAUACCAAACACAGCCUCAAUGUUUUGACUGAAUAUUUCAUAUUGGAUAUUCUACAUGCCCUUUCGACUGUCAAGUAAAAUUAGUAUUGCUUCUUAUUUGGCUGCAUUA